rnacentral:rRNA from 1 species
UACGUAGGGUGCAAGCGUUUGUCCGGAAUUAUUGGGCGUAAAGAGCUCGUAGGCGGUCUGUCACGUCGGCUGUGAAAUCCCGAGGCUCAACCUCGGGUCUGCAGUCGAUACGGGCAAACUAGAGUAUUGCAGGGGAGACUGGAAUUCCUGGUGUAGCGGUGAAAUGCGCAGAUAUCAGGAGGAACACCGGUGGCGAAGGCGGGUCUCUGGGCAAUAACUGACGCUGAGGAGCGAAAAGCGUGGGGGAGCGAACAGG